rnacentral:rRNA from 1 species
CCUGGCUUAGGACGAACGCUGGCGGCAUGCCUAACACAUGCAAGUCGAACGGGGGUAGCAAUACCCUAGUGGCGAACGGGUGAGUAACACAUAAGCAAUCUGCCCUUCACAGGGGGAUAACAGCGGGAAACUGCUGCUAAUACCGCAUAAGACCACGGUACCGCAUGGUACAGGGGUAAAAACGAAUCAGUGGUGAAGGAUGAGCUUAUGUCCCAUUAGCUAGUUGGUGAGAUAACAGCCCACCAAGGCGACGAUGGGUAGCCGACCUGAGAGGGUGAUCGGCCACACUGGAACUGAGACACGGUCCAGACUCCUACGGGAGGCAGCAGUGGGGAAUAUUGGGCAAUGGAGGAAACUUCCUUACCCAGCAAUGCCGCGUGAGUGAAGAAGGUCUUCGGAUUGUAAAGCUCUUUGAUUGGGGACGAAGAAAGUGACGGUACCCAAAGAACAAGCCCCGGCUAACUACGUGCCAGCAGCUGC